rnacentral:lncRNA from 10 species
CCCGAUUAAAGGGUGGUUAAGAAAGAGGAUUCAGCCGAGACACACAUACAUAAGGCUGCUGAUGGCCACACAUGGACCAGUCAGUAUGAGACUGUCUACCUUCUGAAGCCCAUAAAAACUGGAACUCAGCAAGAACCAGGCAAUGUUGGGAAGCCCUGCCUGCAGAGAGGUGCUACCCACUCUGGGUAUCUUCUCAGCUGACAGCUGAGCAGACAAUGGGAUGACCUGCCUGCAGAAAAGAGGUAACCACGUAGAGUCUCUUGAGAGCUGUGUUAUAUCUCAAUAAAGCACCCCUUUGCCUUACUCACCCUCCAGCUCUCUGCAUACCUCUCUCUUCCUGGACACAGGACAAGAACUCGUGACUCACCAAAUGGCAGGACAGAAAGAGCUGUAACACAAAUAGGUCUGAAACAUGCCCACCUGCUUGCCAUCUUGGGAGUGACAAGGAGGAGAGGAGAGAGAAGGAGAGAAGAGCUGUGGCCCUUCAAGGAGCCUAGACCUAGGAGCUCCCCAAGCCAGGGCUGUGACACCCCUCUUUGGGGUUCUGUCGUUCCUAGCAUCUCCAAGCUUCUGGUUGCCACUGCGUUCCCUGGUGCCCACAAUAGAAGCUGCGUGCAGUAUGUCUGGCCCAGCUGCAGCCUCCCAGGAAGCCAAAGCCCGUGCCGGUUCCUGGAGCUGCCGGCCCCGCCACAGCCAGAGUGCCUGGCUGUGCACAGUGUUGGGACCCCAGGCUUGCUCACUCACACAUCUCCCCUCUCCGCAACUGGUUCACCCUUGGCAGGUAUGAGAUCCAGGCUGGUAGUGUGAGCCAAGUGCAGCCUGCCAGGCUGAGUGGGCAGAACAAGCCCAGCAGGCCUGAACUAAACUCAGGCAAUGGCACCGCUGGCCACAGAGGUUUCCGGCUGGCAAUGCAACACCCCAAGAAUCCUGUGUCAUUAGUCCACGUGGUGCUAUAACAAAAUGCCUGUGACUGUGCAACUUACAAAGAACAGACAUUCAUUUCUCAUUUCUGGAGGUUGGGAGUCUAAGACUAUAAUGUCAGCAAGUUUUACAUCUAAGGGGGCCCAGUGUACACUUCCAAGAUGGCACAGAGAUGCUGCAUCAUCCUCUGAGAAGAGAAACCUGUGUCCCCACAUGGCAGAGGGGAUGGAAGGGGAAGACAAUGCUUUCUUCCACUUGGAGCUCUUUUAUAAGGGUGUUAAUCCCACUCCUGAGGGCAGAACCCUUGUGACUUAAGCAACUCCCAAAAGUCACACCUCUUAAACUAUUGCACUGGGGAUUAAGUGUCAACAUAAAUUUUAGAGGGAACAGUAUCAUUCAAAUAAUAGCAAGGAGGAAAUCAAAUGAGGAAAUGAAAUAAACUGUUUAAUAUAACACAGAUAGAACCUAGAAAAACUGGGACUUUAAUCUCAUUCUAAUUACAUCAUUGUAUCACUGAAGUAAAAACAAAAUGAUCUUCUGAAAAAAUUCCAAGUACCAUCAUUAACCAUGGACUUUUAAUGACACCAGAGUUUGUUAAAUAUUGAUGACUCUUUCCAAACACUGUAUUUUCCAUUCAAGCUAAAACAAGCUAGAAAUGUUGAGUAUCUUCCCUUAGAUAUUUUAUAUGAAGCUAUUUACUGGCCCAUCAUAUGUGCUACAAGGUUAAUGUGCUUCUUGCCUAAGAUCUAGACAUUACCUAGUCUUGUGUGUAAAUAGUGAAAAAUGGAGAGGAGUGACCUAAUU